UUACGGCCACACCACGUUGAAACACAGGUUCCUAUACGAUCAUCGAAUUUAAGCAACGUCGAGCCUGGUCAGUACCUAGAUGGGUGACCACUUAAGAAUACCAGAUGCUGUAA